rnacentral:rRNA from 1 species
UACGUAGGGUGCAAGCGUUUUCCUGAAUUAUUGGGCGUAAAGAGCUCGUCGGCGGUCUGUCGCGUCGGAUGUGAAAAUCCAGGGCUCAACCCUGGACCUGCAUUCGAUACGGGCAGACUAGAGUUCGGUAGGGGAGACUGGAAUUCCUGGUGUAGCGGUGAAAUGCGCAGAUAUCAGGAGGAACACCGGUGGCGAAGGCGGGUCUCUGGGCCGAAACUGACGCUGAGGAGCGAAAGCGUGGGGAGCAAACAGG